rnacentral:rRNA from 1 species
AUUGAACGCUGGCGGCAUGCUUUACACAUGCAAGUCGGACGGCAGCACAGAGAAGCUUGCUUCUUGGGUGGCGAGUGGCGAACGGGUGAGUAACAUAUCGGAACGUACCGAGCAGUGGGGGAUAACUAAUCGAAAGAUUAGCUAAUACCGCAUAUCUUCUGAGGAAGAAAGCAGGGGACCAUUUGGCCUUGCGCUGUUUGAGCGGCCGAUAUCUGAUUAGCUAGUUGGUGGGGUAAGGGCCUACCAAGGCGACGAUCAGUAGCGGGUCUGAGAGGAUGAUCCGCCACACUGGGACUGAGACACGGCCCAGACUCCUACGGGAGGCAGCAGUGGGGAAUUUUGGACAAUGGGCGCAAGCCUGAUCCAGCCAUGCCGCGUGUCUGAAGAAGGCCUUCGGGUUGUAAAGGACUUUUGUCAGGGAAGAAAAGGGCGGGGUUAAUACCCCUGUCUGAUGACGGUACCUGAAGAAUAAGCACCGGCUAACUACGUG